rnacentral:tRNA from 1 species
GCGCUCGUGGCGGAACUGGCAGACGCGCCAGGUUCAGGUCCUGGUCCGCUUAACGCGGAUGGAGGUUCGACUCCUCUCGAGCGCACCA